CCCAGACCCUGGAUUUUUUCCCUAAACCCUGCAGCCUGCCACCUCUCACAAUGGGGCCACUCACACUGCAGCCUUCCUCCCAGACCAUCCUGAGGGGCCCACAUCCAACAGAAAUCCAGACUCCAUGGCAUCUGAACCCAGAACCCAGUGGAAUGUGGACAGGGCUCCAGCCCUGUGAUCUGCAGCUGCAGGGCCUGCCUCUCAGCCAAUCCCUGAGGACAAUGCAUUUUGCUGGAAGAUUUCAAAGCAUACCUUGGGUAACUGGAACAGAAGCCUGCUGGCACCUUUCCCCACUGCGGAACAGCAGAGAGGGAAACUGAAGCUCAGAGGUAGCACCUGGGAGAAGGAGCUAAAAGUCCAAGCUCCUAAUGGAGCAGAAGAAUCCUUCCCAUCCAUUUGGAUGGCAAGCAUGGAUACUGGGAGAAAUCUCUCCAUCCCUACAUACUCCAACUCUGGCCUGCCUAAUGGUCUGCAAGAUCCCUGCUGGAAGCAGACAAUAACAAUGAUAAUA